GGAAAAGUCACUCUGAAAUAUUCAAGUUAAUUCAUUGAAGUAAAUGUGAGAGUGACUAAACGGUUCAGAUAUAAGAGAAAUUCUAAGUGAUAAAUAUCUGAAGAAGAUGGUUCUUGACAUAAGCACGCAGGCGAUAGAGGCAAAUAUAAAGAAAAUAUAUGCUAAGAUAAGAGAAUUUGAAGAAGAAUUAGAGAACAAUGCCGAUUAUGAAACCUGCAAUAGAAUUCAGGCUGAAAUUAGUAAAAUGAGCGCUUAUCUUGUACAGAUAUUAGGCUUACUAAAGAAGCAAUGAAAACUGAAACAAAGUCAUUGGGACCCAAAGAAGGCAAUACAGUGGAUCGAAUUCAGGCCCACUUCCACGUAACCUUCCACGGAUGGAAUUAAGAAACUCUUAUACUCGUAUACUUCCAUGAACUAUCAAAAAUGAAACAAAUGGAUUAUGAUCUAAACAAAGACAGUGACACGAAGGCAUCCAAAGCAAGAUACAAAUCUCAGCCGAUCGAUCAGUGGAUUAUAUUCAGGCUCACUUGCACGUAACCUUCCACGGAAAACACUUACAAGUUCUUAGAUUCGUACUACCACUACCCCACACGGCACUAAGAAACUCUUAUACUCGUAUACUUCCAUGAACUAUCAAAAAUGAAACAAAUGGAUUAUGAUCUAAACAAAGACAGUGACACGAAGGCAUCCAAAGCAAGAUACAAAUCUCAGCCGAUCGAUCAGUGGAUUAUAUUCAGGCUCACUUGCACGUAACCUUCCACGGAAAGCACUUACAAGUUCUUAGAUUCGUACUACCACUACCCCACACGGCACUAAGAAACUCUUAUACUCGUAAACUUCCAUGAACUAUCAAAAAUGAAACAAAUGGAUCCAAACAAAGACAGUGACACGAAGGCAUCCAAAGCAAGAUACAAAUCUCAGCCGAUCGAUCAGUGGAUUAUAUUCAGGCUCACUUGCACGUAACUUACAAGUUCUUAGAUUCGUACUACCACACAACAUAAAGCAGUUUAUUACUUUAGAUACUAGUAUAUAUACGUACAGUAUUAUGGCGGACAACAGAGAGAACAUUUUUGAAUGGAACGGAUUCCUGACGCCGGUUAAUGCAAUAAAUACCUCAACUAAAUAGAUUCCAUUGACAAUAAAACAAGUUACUCCCACA
rnacentral:sRNA from 1 species